AUUGAACGCUGGCGGCAUGCCUUACACAUGCAAGUCGAACGGCAGCGGGGACUUCGGUCCGCCGGCGAGUGGCGAACGGGUGAGUAAUGCAUCGGAACGUACCCGGGAGUGGGGGAUAACUAUCCGAAAGGAUAGCUAAUACCGCAUAUUCUGUGAGCAGGAAAGCAGGGGAUCUUCGGACCUUGUGCUUCCGGAGCGGCCGAUGUCAGAUUAGCUAGUUGGUGGGGUAAAGGCCUACCAAGGCGACGAUCUGUAGCGGGUCUGAGAGGAUGAUCCGCCACACUGGAACUGAGACACGGUCCAGACUCCUACGGGAGGCAGCAGUGGGGAAUUUUGGACAAUGGGCGCAAGCCUGAUCCAGCCAUGCCGCGUGAGUGAAGAAGGCCUUCGGGUUGUAAAGCUCUUUCGGCCGGGAAGAAAUCGCAUAGGUUAAUACCCUGUGUGGAUGACGGUACCGGAAUAAGAAGCACCGGCUAACUACGUGCCAGCAGCCGCGGUAA
rnacentral:rRNA from 1 species